GAACAUUAUCAUUAAUAUUUUCCUCAUAAAUAUUCUGUAUUUACUUAAUAUUAGUUAAUUUACUGUUUGUGAAUAAUUGUGAAAGUAAGACCUUUAUUCAGAAUAUAUAUUAUUGAUUGACUGUAUUGAUAUGACUGUACCUUAUAUCUUUGCCACAAUGUACUACAAUUAUUGACAUUUAAAAAUAAACAAUAGUGUUGAAAGAUCAAUGUUAUUAAAUAACAUAAUUAUCACAUUGCAUGGAAAAGUAAAAAAAAAGUAAAAGUAGCAUCUAAAAGUUUCUGUUCUCUUGGCUACCAGUUUUUGGCAAUUUAUUAAAUUAUUUAGUUAGCCCAUAACGUUAUUAAGUUAUUUUAAGCCUAUAACAUUUAUAGCAAUUAUGAAGUUUAACCUUUAAUAUUAUUAUUAACUAUUUCUCUUCUUUUUGUUGUUUUUGUUGUUAUUGUUGCAAGAUUCAAUGUACUUAUCCUUUUUAGUAGGUAAAACUUUAAUUUUACACAAUGUCUCAGCAUUCAGAAAAAGAGUGUAUCAACGCUAGCACAACAAAUAUUGGUCUUUGCACAUCUCCUUUAAAUAAAUUUGUAUGGAAUAUGGCUAACACAAGAGUAUUAUUAGAUUUAUGGAAAGAUCAUUACAAAGCAUUAACAUCUGCAAGAAGAAACACAAAUAUUUACAAACAAAUGGUAGCUGAAUUUUCAAACACAUUUAAUAUCGUACCUCCGUUAACUGAUAUCAAAUUCAAUCUAAAAUUAGUAAUUUGAGGAAGCAAUUUAGACGAGAAAAACUUCAAGUUGGUUCAUCGGGAGGAGCUCCUAGUAAAUGGUGGCCUUACGAUAUUGUUGCCAAAAUAAUAGGUGAUGAAGCUUCCCUUGACAAUGGCCUUUUAUCUCAAAGUCUUAACUUUUCUACUCAAGAUUUUCAAGAUGGUCAGAUUGCCACAAUGGAAGAUAGCAAGGAGACUGUCAGUAUUUUAAAUAUUGAAGCUUUGGAUGAUACAAGUGAUGUGCAAUCAGUUGUCACUAUUCCUGAUGAGGAACUAACUCAAUCUACAUCCAGCUGCAAUAAACGAAGGAACUCUGAUGAUAAAAAAACUUUGAAUAAAAUAGCAAAAACUGAACCGGUGAGAAAAAAUAAAAAAACAAAUUUUUCUUCUGAAUAUUUAAAAAUAGCAAAUAAAAAUUUAGAUGUUCAAAUCCGUUCACAAGAGCUACGAAUCAGAGAAGUUGUUGCUUUAGAGCGUAUUUGUGAUGCAAUUGAAAAUGCAUCUAAAGCCCAAGUAGAUGCGUCUAAAGCCCAAGUAGAAUAUUAUAAAUUUUUAAUAAAAAAAUAAGGUGUUCUAUUAGUCAAGAUAUCUUUUUAGUAAUUAUGUUAAAGUUGAAAGGUCAGUAUUUUUUCAACAGUAUACCUUGUUUACAAUUCUAUGCAAUAUAUAUUUCAUAAGGUUUUUCAUUGUUUUAACUAAAGAGAUGGUUAGUGAAAUAUUGUACAAGCUUGUAGAUGAAGCUCUAUUUUUAUAUAUUUUUUCAUGUUACCAUAUUACUAUUAUCAAAGGAAUUUUUACUUUAUGUAAAAUAAAAAUAUUUUGUGAUUUCAAGCAUUAAAAUGCAUAUCUGGUGGUAUUUUUUAAAUUUGUCAUGUUAUUUUAUAAAUACCUUUUUUUGUAUCUCUAUGCUAUAUAUAUUUAGUAUUUUUACCAAAUAAUUUUUUUUUGCGAUAUGAAGCAAGCCUGUAGAUGAAUUAUAGUGAUAUGUUUUUUGCCAAAGUGUUUUGUUUUUAAUUUAUACAAGUUGCAUUACAUGUUUCAUUUUUGUUUUUGUUAACAGAUCAUGCUGUAUCAAUUCUAACAAAAUGGUUUUAAAAAAUGUGUUUUAAUUUCCCUUGAAUUGUAAUAUAAUAAGUAUUAUAUUUAUUUAAUAUAUUUAUAUAGUUUUAAUAGCUUUUUAGGGAGACAUCUGUAAUGGAAAAAGCUAUUGGAAAAACAUGGAAAGGGUUUUGGCCGUACUUCGAUCAAGAAGUAGAACAUUAAUCAAUGAUGAAUCAAUCACCCAUUUUCAUAUUUCGAUUUAGCUUCCUUUAAGUUAAAUCGACAAGGGUAUCUGAUUGAAAGAAAAGUUUGGCUUAGGCCAAAAAGUUCUCAAUGGUUUAAUGAGAUUUUUAAUCAAAUGGAGGAAUGUGAAUUUAAAGAGCAUUUUCGAGUAAAUCGUAACACAUUUAAUUUCCUAGUUAAUAAAUUGCAUCCACAUUUAGGCAAAACUACCACAACUAUGCGAGUACCUAUUUCAGUAGUAAAACGUGUUGCAGUUGCAUUACAUUAUCUAGCUUCAUGUGAAGAGUAUCGUGUUGUGUCUAGAUUUUUUGGCAUAGGAAAGUCAACAGCAAAUUUAAUUGUUCAUGAAUUUAUUCAUGCUGUUAAUGACAUUUUGCUCCCUAAAUAUGUUAAAUUUCCAUUGUCAGUGGAAAAUUUAAAUAAAUAUAGUAGAGAUUUCGAUGCUAUUUUUGGUUUUCCACAAUGCGUUGGAGCUGUUGAUGGAUGCCACAUCUCUAUUUUAGCCCCUAAAGAUCAAGCAAUUUCUUAUUAUAAUUAUAAAGGGUGGUAUUUCAUUGUACUUUUUUCCGUUGUAGACUGUCGAUACCGUUUCAUUUAUCCAAAGUUGGAUCGCCUGGUAGAAAUAAUGACAGCUAUAUUUUGCAGAAUUCUUCUUUGAAAGCAAUUUUAGAAUCAAGUCUAUUUGAUAAAUAUUGUAAAGAGCUGGGCGAUUCUCUUGUUCCGCUAUGUUUGAUAGGUGAUUCAGCAUUUCCUUUAACGCGUCAUUUGUUGAAACUUUAUCCUGAAAAUUUGGAGCUUAGUGAUAUUCAAAAAAAUUUCAAUAAAAUGCUUUGCGGAGCUAGAAGAGUAGUUGAGAAUGCUUUUGGGCGCGUUAAAGCUCGAUUCCGUGUAAUUUGCAAACGUAUGGAAUGCGAUAUUAACUUUGCUACAAGAAUUGUUAAUGCUUGCGUCACUCUUCACAACAUUUGUGAAUAUUAUGACGAUAUUAUUAUAAUAGAAUGGCUUAUGCAUCAUCAUGAUGACAGUCUAGCUCAACCCAAUACAGUUUCUACAACUGGGAACAAUGACCAGGAAAAAAUGUUCGUGACUCAAUUGCUAAAUACCUUUAUGAAAGGGACAAGUAAAGUAGUAAUAAUAUUAUUUAUUAUUUAAAGCUUUAGCUGUAAUAUGGUUAUGUAUUUACUUACUUUCCUUGAGGUUAUCAAAUGUGUCUAAAUAAAUAAAUAUUAAAUAUGUAUGAACACAAAA
rnacentral:lncRNA from 1 species